UCGCCUGUUUUUUCAAAAACAUAGCCCCUUGUAAAUAUAAAGGGUAAAGCCUGCCCAAUGGAAAUAUCUAAAUGGCCGCGGUAUCUUAACCGUGCAAAGGUAGCAUAAUCAUUUGUCUCUUAAAUAGAGACUCGUAUGAACGGCACAACAUUUUUUGACUGUCUCCUUUCUUUAUCUUCUAAACUUCUAUUAACGUGAAGAAGCGUUACUAAAAAAGAAAGACGAGAAGACCCCGUCGAGCUUUAACUCCUAAAAGAACUAACAAACCCUUUAAGAAGAAACAUAUCUUUUUAGAAGUAUUGGUUGGGGCAACCAUUGAGUAGAACAACCCUCAAGAAAAUAAAUAGAUAAUAUAUCACUUUUACUAACAAAGAACCACUAAUAAUGAAAACAGAAAAAGUUACCGCAGGGAUAACAGCGUUAUCUCCUUUAAGAGUUCAUAUUGACAAGGAGGAUUGCGACCUCGAUGUUGGAUUGGGGCUACCUAAGGGUGCAACAGCUCUUAAAGGUUGGACUGUUCGUCCAAUAACCCCCUACGUGAUCU
rnacentral:rRNA from 1 species